ACCGGUGAACAGCCAAAACCUGCUGCUCCUAGGCGUCCUGGUCUUCAUGCUCGGGGUUCUCAGCGCCUUUGCGGGAGCAGUGAUCGACGGCGACACAGUGUCCCUGGUGGAACGCAAGUACUCCCACUAUUGCCUGCCCCCGCGCACGCCGGCCGCUGGCCCUGGCCCGGCCACUGGCUCUGUAGCCCCAGGCACUAGCACGCAGCGCUCCCGCAGCAACCUGGACAGCACCACGACCGCCAAAUGCCGCCAGUUGAAGGACUACCAGCGCGGCCUGGUGCUCUCCACUGUAUUCAACUCGCUCGAGUGCCUGCUGGGCCUGCUCAGCCUCCUGCUGGUCAAGAACUACAAGUCGUCGCAGGCUCGGCGCGGCCGC
rnacentral:lncRNA from 1 species